GGCGGCUAGAGGCGAGUCGACCGAGCGACCGAGCGUCUCGAUAAUUCAGCCUUCCCGCCAGCUCCACCCGAGGCGUAGGAGCGGACUGCGGAACGCGUUAAAUCAAUUUGUGACUGUUAGUUCUCCCGCGACUCUUAUUCAGU